GGGGGGGGGGGGGGGGGGGGGGGGGGGGGGGGGGGGGGGGGGGGGGGCCGGGCGGGUGGGGGGGGCGCGGGGGGCGAGGGGGGGCGGAACACGGGAGGAACCGGCCCUGGACUUUGGGAUAACUUCAGGAAACUGGGGCUACUACCGGAUAGGCGCUCCUGCCUCAUGGUGCGGCUUGGCAAGUUUCGGCGGUUGGGGAUUGACUCGGGGCUUAUCAGCUUGCUGGUGGGGUAGUGGCUGACCACGGCUUUGACGGGUAGCCGGCCUGAGAGGGUGACCGGCCACAUUGGGACUGAGAUAAGGCCCAGCCUCCUACGGGAGGCAGCAGUGGGGAAUAUUGCACAAUGGGCGGCAGCCUGAUGCAGCAGCGCCGCGUGCGGGAUUACGCCCUUCGGGUUGUAAACCGCUUUCGCCUGUGACGAAGCGUGAGUGACGGUAAUGGGUAAAGAAGCACCGGCUAACUACGUG
rnacentral:rRNA from 1 species